UCCCGCGUGGUCUAGCGGUUUGGAUUCCUGGCCUUCACCCAGGCGUCCCGGGUUCGACUCCCAACGCAGGAG